UAGGGAAUCUUCCACAAUGGACGCAAGUCUGAUGGAGCAACGCCGCGUGAGUGAAGAAGGUCUUCGGAUCGUAAAACUCUAUUGUUAGAGAAGAACACGAGUGAGAGUAACUGUUCAUUCGAUGACGGUAUCUAACCAGCAAGUCACGGCUAACUACGUGCCGG
rnacentral:rRNA from 1 species